GGAAGGCCUGUAGCUCAGUGGUAGAGCAUCAGUCAUCUAUGCAGAAGGUCUCAGGUCCAAACCUUGGCAUCUCCA